AGCGAACGCUGGCGGCAGGCCUAACACAUGCAAGUCGAACGAGCCUUCGGGCUAGUGGCGGACGGGUGAGUAACACGUGGGAACGUACCUUUAGGUUCGGAAUAACUCAGGGAAACUUGAGCUAAGACAGGAUGUGCCCUUCGGGGGAAAGAUUUUUCGCCUUUAGAGCGGCCCGCGUUAGAUUAGCUAGUGGGUGGGGAAAUGGCCCACCAAGGCUACGAUCUAUAGCGGGUCUGAGAGGAUGAUCAGCCACACUGGGACUGAGACACGGCCCAGACUCCUACGGGAGGCAGCAGUGGGGAAUCUUGCGCAAUGGGCGAAAGCCUGACGCAGCCAUGCCGCGUGAAUGAUGAAGGUCUUAGGAUUGUAAAAUUCUUUUAGCAGGGACGAUAAUGACGGUACCUGCAGAAAAAGCCCCGGCUAACUUCGUGCCAGCAGCCGCCGUAA
rnacentral:rRNA from 1 species